UUGAGGUGCAUCUGUAAUUCUACAUUUGAAGGUUGCAACCUUGUAAAAACUUUUGCCAUAUCUAAAUCAAAGAAAUCAGAAAAGCUAUUUCAAAUAAGAUAACCAUUUGAAAAGAGUAUUAAUCAUAGGUUAAUAACUCAAAAACUAAGUAAAAAAUCCAUUUCAAAAUGUAAAUCAGAUUUGGUUUAAACCAAUUUAGUUUGUUUUGUUCAAAUUAAAUUCUAAAAAGUCGUGAAAAAGGUUUAAAUCAUAUCAUUUUUAUGUUUUUCAAAAUAAUCAACUUUUCCUAUUUUAGACCAUUUUCAGUUAUUUUAAGAGUUGAGUGUACUUAUCAGAAAUCUCUAAUUAAAUUUUUUUUAAAAUUUUGAUAUAACAAGAGGUUGGUAUACUGCAUAAAAAUCUUAAUGAAAUCGUAAACAAGAUGUGAUAAAUCCAUGGACCAGUUAGGAUUUUAAAAAAGCUAAAAGAUAUCAUGCUUUAGAGCCAACAUGCUGUCCAUUUGCUGCGUCGGGGAAAACUAAGAGCAUUUGUAGGAUAUCAAAUUAUGGGAUGUAACCUCUUCAGCUCAUGUGCUAUAUUUGAUUAAAAUUGCCAAAAAUAUUUAUGCUCCCAAGGGAGCAUACUAUCCAUUACCGCUUCAAGCAAAACCCAAUAUAGUACUUUUAGGACCCCAAAUUUUGCGAAUGUAACCUCUUCAACCCAAUGCUAUACUCAAUAAAAAAAAUAAAUUGAAAUUGCAUUUUCUAUGGGCUUGAAAGAAAUAAUGCCCCAAGAUUAAAUAGAAACCAUGCAAUUUUUAACAUAACUCUCUAGUGAUUUUUAGGCCGUUCCCAAAUUUUCUGAUAAAAAAAAUCUACCCAAAUUAGUCUUUUGCUAGUGGGAGCAAGUGUACAAUGUAUGCUCCUACGGGAACACAAUAUAUGUGCUCAAAUUCUUUUUUCAAAUCGGAUUAUUUAUGGGCUUGAAAAAAGUAAUGCCUUAUGAUUUAAUAGAAACCGUCAAGUUUUUGAAGGGUGAUAUUUGUGUUAAAAAAUUCAAAAUUCAAUUUUUUUUAAUAUAUUUUUAUGGUGAUUUAAUAGAAACCUUCAAGUUUUUUAAGGGUGGGGGAUAUAUUCCUUGUAUUUGUUGUACCAUUUCUCCAUAUUCAAAAUUCCUAUGGAUUGCAGUAUUGUUAGUACAUCCACGGUUGAAAAUGGGAAAAUCGUUUUUGCAACUUGUAGGCCACUAAGGGAGCAGUCAUUUAUUGGUUUCAAAAUUUUAGUGCAGCACUGACCUUUUGGUUGGAUAAAUAAUAGUACUUGUUACUUGUUUGCAAAGAAUACUUUUCAUUUUAGAAAAUUAUGUUAAACUGUGCAAAGUUUCCAUCCCCAAAAGGCACUAUUUGAAUACAAUGAUUUCUUAACAAAAAGAACACAUAGGUGGUGGCUGCAACCAAUUCAUUGAGCUGGGUUCAAUUACCUUUAUCUUAAAGGUAUCCAACAAUUGGCUAGAGGACUUCAGCCCUCGGUUUAUUUGCAAAGAGUAUCUAUACUAUUUUUCUUCGGGAGCGUAAUUUACUUCUACUCCCUAGGUUAGAAAACUUAUUUGGGAGAAUUUUUUUAAUCUGAAAUUUUGGAAAUUUUUUCAAUCAGUAGAAGGAUGAUUCUUGAGCAUUAAUAGACUUGGGUUGAUCAUUAUAGAGCAUUAGAAAGAUUCACUGUCAUGCCCGUGUCUGGCAAUGCCGUCUCAUACGACUGUUAAUUAAAAAAAAAAUCUUAAUGGCUCAAGUUUAUACAACUUUUUUUUCCUUUGGGGUAAGUCAGUGGGGGAAGAAGGCCCCUCACCCGAUUUUUUUAAUUUCAUUAACUAAAGAUAAAGGAUGCAGGCUCAUCAGAUUACAACACUUUCAUAUGGAACUCAUGCUUCAUUGUAAGAAUUUGGAAGAGUAAGAAAAUCAAGAGGCCAGGCCCUCCAAACUGUAGCAGCAGAUACCAAGUUGACAGCAGUGGUCUGUAGAGUCGAAGGUAGCUUGUGGUGGCCUUGGAGAGAGUCCAUAAGGAGCUUAGAGUCACUUUCAAUGAGAUGCAAUUUGAUGGCCAAAUCAAUACCAGACUCUUACGGCUUUGAACUCAGCAAAAUUGUUAGCAGCAACUCCAAGUGGCUUGGCAAAACAUGCAACAAGGUGACCGACCUCAUCUCUCAAAGCAACCACAACCAGAGAAGACUUGGGUUCUGAAAGGAUGUGCCGUCAAUGUUGAGCUUGAAGUAGCCCAUUGGAGGAGGCUCCUAUGAGACAUGGAUGCAUUUCCGGGGUUGUUGCACAUGCCACUAAAAAGCUAGUCUUUGAACAACUAACCUUUCCGAGGGUGGAAAGACCUAGACUUUAUUGCAGCGAGACCUCUCACAUGAUGAAUAACAUGGUCUACGUCUCACGUCUAGAUGACUUCCUUUUUAAAAAGCCAAUUAUUAUGCUCCUCCCAUAAAAUCCAAAUAGUAGUAAAAAAAAGAGAGAAUGCAAUAUAUGCUGAAGGCCCUGAGAGUUAAAGCUGAUUUUAAUCUACUAAGUGAACAUGAGGAGCACAUAUGGUUUUGCAGAAAUGCAUUUGCCACAUCUCCAAGAAAUGGAGCACCAAAGGAACUGCGAAAACAAACAUUAAAGCAAAAGAUGGUCAACGUUAUCACUAUUCUUCUAGCGAAAAGAGCACGUGGGAACCAUAGUCAUCCAUUGCUUUCGAGCUAACGAAGAAAACAGCUUUUGAGUUUACGCUUGUUGGAGGUGGUUUUCUAUUUUUUUUUAGGUGGAACCCUAGCAACUGCAAUUGCGUCUUACGAAUUCACAUGCCAUCGUAGUGGUUGGUCAGCAUUGAUGUAAGAAUAACUAUGUCAACCAUUUGGCCCUAGGUUACGAGGGGAACGACCAUAAAGAUAUAAAAGCAGGUUGUGAGGUCCCUCUAUAUCAAAAUUUUAUACAAAUUGGAUAGUAUGAAGAGCACUUUGCAAAGUUCAUUGCAGUCUAGUGUUCGGUUUAGUUGCCAGACCAUAAUCGAAAUUCAAUCAGAUCGAAAUGAUGUUCAUUUUAU